rnacentral:rRNA from 1 species
AUGGGUUACGUGGCGGUGGCGACGGACGAGGGAGUUGCAGCACUGGGAAGGCGCGACAUCGUCGUGGUGUGGCGCGGCACCGAGAACGAGCUGGAGUGGGAGAAAGACAAGCACUUCCUUCAGGUGCCUGCCGCGCCCGUGUUGGGCCGCUAUGCUGACGGAGAGCACAAGAACGCCAAGGUGCACCGUGGCUUCCUAUCCGUGUACACGUCCAGUGACAACAACUCCAUGUACAACAAGACCAGCGCCAGAGAGCAGGUUCUCGAGGAGGUAGGGAGGCUAAUGGAGGAGUACAAGGACGAGGUGACCAGCAUCACCGUCACCGGCCACAGCCUUGGCGCGUCACUUGCCACCCUCACCGCCAUCGACAUGGUGGCCAACGACGUCAACGUGCCCCCUGCCUCGAAGCAACCACCGUGCCCCGUGACAGCGAUACUGCUGGCGUGCCCGCGAGUCGGGAACCCCACGUUCAAGUCCGCCUUCGACUCUUUCCCCCUCCUGCGGGCACUCCACGUGGCGAACGCCAAAGACAUCGUGCCACAGAACCCUCCCUCUAUGCUGCUAAUGUGGUACGUGGACAGCGCGACAGCAACGAUCUUGUACCUGCACGGUGUCGCAGGGGAUCAUGGCGACAAUGAGGACUUCAAACUAGUGGUUCCCCGUGACGUGGCGCUGGUGAACAAGACUACUGACCUGCUGGAAGACGAAUACCCAGUGCCGGCGAGCUGGUGGGUCGUCAACAAGAAAUGCAUGGUCAAGGGCACCGAUGGCCAAUGGAAACUUGAUGGCUUCGAAGAAGCAUAG